CACACUCCUGAUUAGUUAGUUAUUUUUAAUAGGGACAAAAUGUGGACAAGAUUUGAAGGCUUAAAAAAACAAACAUUUUUCUUUCUUUCUUUCUUUCUUUUUUUUUUUUUUUGCUGAUGAAGAUUCACCCUGAGCUAACAUCUGUGCCAACCUUUCUCUAUUUUCCUUGUAGGUUCUGCCACAGCAUAGCCGCCACCGAGCGGUGCAGGUCGUGCCCCAAACCAGGUCCGCAAUCGAGCGGAGCUUGAAUAAUUUAACCAGUAGGCUACCAGGCUGGCCCCCAAAACAAACUUUUUAAAUUGGGAAACAGGAAAUACACAUAGAUAACCUACAUGGAUUGCUUUUUGAAUCUAUAUACUAGAUCCAGAACGGAGGGCUUCGUGGGCCCCUCCCUAGAUUGCAAUUAAGACGUGUGAAUAAAGUCCCGUCCCAUCCGGGAGUUAGAGAUAAUCUAAUCAACCGAGAAGGCGAGGUCUGCCCGCUCCCUCAGGAGUAUAAAAGGAGCUGAGAGAGGCAUGGGCGACCCACUUCGGGAGCUGAGAGCGAAGUCACCAAGUGUGGGACUUUGAGACAGUGGAACCUACCCCAGGAGCCGACGGCGGGAGAGGGGCACGGUUGGUGACUCAAGUUGGAGUAGAAGCUGCUGUGAUAACUGAGUGGUUUUCACACAUGGUUUUGGUCUCCAAGCUCAACAGUGAAAGCCAAAGGUCACCGUGCUUCCUCUUUAUAAAUAAGCAAUUACACGGGUGACCUAAAAAUAGAGUUCUUGUUGGCCAAGACAGGUUAAUGAGAGCCGACUUGGAAUCCUGUCGCAUGGUAGAGCUGUUUCCGUGCCAUGUGUAGCUAGGUUUGUCAGUCUUCUCUGGUCAGUAGCACAUGUUUUAGAUCAUGAUGCGUCCACACAGGAAUCGCAGCUAAGGAAGGUGUGGUUGACUGGUGAAGAGAUGAUUGCAUUGUCUCUGAUCAGGUCAGGGGGUUGGAAUUCAGUGUCUUUGUGUAUAGGAGCAAGAAAGGGAAAGUAUGACUGCAAACUCACGCAGGGGUUCUAGGAGACCAGAAAGGAGGAGGAAACUGUGAUGUGAACAGCAAAGCCAAACUCUUGCCCAGUUUGGGAGUGUAAUUGUAAUGGAGUACAAUUAACUU
rnacentral:lncRNA from 1 species